rnacentral:rRNA from 1 species
UAAAAAUAAGAAAUUUUUUGAGAUUAUUAGGUAGAAUUUUAAUUUUAAAUAAUAACAAUAUAAAUAUACAUAAAAAUUAUAAUUGGGACCAGGAUUAGAUACCCUGUUACUUAUAUUUAAAAUAUUUUGGAAUAGUAGUACUAAUGAAAUUUAACGGAUUUGGCGGCAAGAUAGCCAUUUAGAGGAACCUGCCCUAUAAACGAUGAUCCACGAUUAAACUCUACUUUUAUUUGCAUUUCAGUUUGUAUACCGCUGUUGUCAGUCAGUUUCUCUAGAAAACUUUCAUUCAUGAUAAUAUCAUUGACUUCAAGUAAAGGUGCAGCUUAUAUAAAAGACAGAGGUGGGUUACAUUUAGUAGAUUAAAACGGAUGAAGUUGAUGAAAAUAGCUUUUGAAGGUGGAUUUGAUUGUAAAGUUUAUAUAAACUUGAUGUGAGCUCUAUCUUGUG